UACGGAGGGGGCGAGCGUUAUUCGGAAUCAUUGGGCGUAAAGGGCGCGUAGGCGGCCGGGCAAGUCAGGGGUGAAAUCCCUCGGCUCAACCGAGGAAUCGCCUCUGAAACUGCCCAGCUCGAGGCCGGGAGAGGGUAGUGGAAUUCCCAGUGUAGCGGUGAAAUGCGUAGAUAUUGGGAGGAACACCAGUGGCGAAGGCGGCUACCUGGACCGGUUCUGACGCUGAGGCGCGAAAGCGUGGGGAGCAAACAGG
rnacentral:rRNA from 1 species